rnacentral:sRNA from 1 species
AUACAGCGCGUUAGGGAUUGCAGCGACAUCCUUUUUUUGUCAGUUCGAGUGUUUUACGAAGUAUGAGUAAAAUGUAUCGAGAACAGCUCAAAAAAAGAUAUAGCGAAAAGCCCGACCCUAU